UAGGGAAUCUUCCACAAUGGGCGAAAGCCUGAUGGAGCAACGCCGCGUGUGUGAUAAAGGGUUUCGGCUCGUAAAACACUGUUGUAAGAGAAGAAUGACAUUGAGAGUAACUGUUCAAUGUGUGACGGUAUCUUACCAGAAAGGAACGGCUAAAUACGUGCCNG
rnacentral:rRNA from 1 species